rnacentral:sRNA from 1 species
AGUUGUUGCUUCCUUCUCUGGGCAGCAGCUCUGUAAGAAGGAAUGUCAGCUUUUACAUAACGUUCCUUUCCGC